rnacentral:tRNA from 1 species
AGCAGGGUCAGCUAACUCAAGCUCUUGGGCCCAUACCCCAAACAUGCAGGUUAAAAUCCUGCCUCUGCUA